GAUGAACGCUGGCGGCGUGCCUAAUACAUGCAAGUCGAGCGAACGGACGAGAAGCUUGCUUCUCUGAUGUUAGCGGCGGACGGGUGAGUAACACGUGGAUAACCUACCUAUAAGACUGGGAUAACUUCGGGAAACCGUAGCUAAUACCGGAUAAUAUUUUGAACCGCAUGGUUCAAAAGUGAAAGACGGUCUUGCUGUCACUUAUAGAUGGAUCCGCGCUGCAUUAGCUAGUUGGUAAGGUAACGGCUUACCAAGGCAACGAUGCAUAGCCGACCUGAGAGGGUGAUCGCCCACACUGGAACUUAGACACCGUCCAGGCUCCUGCGGGAGGCCCCAGUCUGGAAUCUUCCGCAAUGGGCGAAAGCCUGGCGGAGCAACGCCGCGUGAGUGGUGAAGGUCUUCGGAUCGUAAAGCUCUGUUAUUAGGGAAAAACAUAUUUGUAAGUAACUGUGCACAUCUUGACGGUACCUAGUCAGAAAGCCCCGGCUAACUACGUG
rnacentral:rRNA from 1 species